UCCUUUUCCACUUGGUCCUUCCAACGGAGUGGAGGUCUUCCUCGCUGAAAUUUCAAAAAAGAGAACAGUGACGAAGAUGACAAAGGUUUGGAAAACAAUUCCAUUGUACCAUGAUGAGACAUAUUUCACGCAUUUUCGCAUGACUCGUGAAACAUUUGCAGACUUGAAAAAUGCGUUAGAACCAUUUUGGUCAACACCACACGGUGAAUAUUCCGUGGAACAUUCCUUGCAUAUGACUCUUUGGAAGCUAAAUAAUAGAAGAGUCACAUAUCGUGAGCUUGCCGAUAGAUUUAAUGUUGGGCAAGGAACUGCCCACAAACUUUUCCUCAAAACAAUCAAGACAAUCUACAAACUUAAAAACGAAAUAUGUUGAUGCUUAGAUGGAACGCAUUUCAAAAUUAACACUCCUCAAACAGAUGCAAUUAGUUAUUAUGACCGUAAAGGAAAUUUUUCAGUUAUUAUGCAGAUGUGUUCAUCGGCUAUCCAGGUAGCUGUCAUGAUGCCAAUGUAUGGAAAAAUAGUCCACUUUACAAAGGGAUCACAUCUGGACAAAUAAAACUUCCGAAAGAUGCAAUUAUUCUAGCCGAUUCAGCAUAUCCUGUUUCAAAUACUUAAUUGCUCCUUUCAGAGUUAACGGACAUCUUUCCAGAGAGGAAAAACAAUUCAACUAUUAUAUGAGCUCAACCCGAAUAUUUAUCGAGCAAACAUUUGGAAUUUUCAGGGCUAAGUUCAAAAUAUUGAAUCAUAUUGAUAUGCGCAAUAUAGAAGACAUAUCAACUGUGAUAUUAGCUUGCGCAAUUUUACAUAAUUUUAUACUGCGAAGCAAUCCGGUUCAUUCUGAAGACAAUCAUACGAGUAUGCCUGAAAAUUUAGAAAAUUCAAAUGAUCAAGAUAUGAUUGAACUACCUGAAAAUAUAAAUGACAAUAAUGAAGGAAUUAUCAUACGAAAUAACUUGAAAUUGCUAUUUAUUUCAUAGAAGUAUUAUUUCAAUAAUGUAUAUACAUAUGUACAUAUCAAAUAAAUGAUUAAUUGAUUAAAAUCU